UGGGGAAUAUUGGACAAUGGGCGAAAGCCUGAUCCAGCAAUGCCGCGUGAGUGAUGAAGGCCUUAGGGUUGUAAAGCUCUUUUACCCGGGAUGAUAAUGACAGUACCGGGAGAAUAAGCCCCGGCUAACUCCGUGCCAGCAGCCGCGGUAAUACGGAGGGGGCUAGCGUUGUUCGGAAUUACUGGGCGUAAAGCGCACGUAGGCGGCUUUGUAAGUUAGGGGUGAAAGCCCGGAGCUCAACUCCGGAAUUGCCCUUAAGACUGCAUCGCUAGAACGUCGGAGAGGUGAGUGGAAUUCCGAGUGUAGAGGUGAAAUUCGUAGCUAUUCUGAAGAACACCAGUGGCGAAGGCUACUCACUGGACGACUGUUGACGCUGAGGUGCGAAAGCGUGGGGAGCAAACAGG
rnacentral:rRNA from 1 species